CAGAAUGAUAAAUAUCAGUAUACAUACUUCGCCCACAAAGUAAACAGCUUUGAGACGGCGCCUAAAAAACUAUUGGCAUCAGAUUCCCGGUUACGACCUGAUAGAUACUUCCUUGAAAAAGGUGAUAUGUCCAAAUCUGGUGCAGAAAAGAGCCGAUUAGAGGAGAGGCAGAGGGCCGAGAAAAGGCAGCGGGAAGCAAGAGGUGACCAGUACACCCCGAAAUGGUUCAGCAAUACUGGCGAUAUCUCACACACACCAUGGGGCGACCUUGAGGUAUACGAGUACAAUGGUAAAUACUCCGAACAUAGGGCUGCGGUCGAUAGCUCGGAUUCCAUCGAGCAAGUGGACAUAGAAUCCAUAGAGUUUAACCCGUGGCAGUAUAGUGAUCUGUCUUCUUAGUGUGAAAAUAUUCAGUUUUGCAGGAUGACUCUUAUUUCCUCUCACUUUAGGAUGUGUGCUUGCAUAGAUUUGUUCUCUGAAAAUGG
rnacentral:misc_RNA from 1 species